UACGUAGGUGGCAAGCGUUGUCCGGAAUUAUUGGGCGUAAAGCGCGCGCAGGUGGUUCUUUAAGUCUGAUGUGAAAGCCCCCGGCUCAACCGGGGAGGGUCAUUGGAAACUGGGGAACUUGAGUGCAGAAGAGGAUAGUGGAAUUCCAAGUGUAGCGGUGAAAUGCGUAGAGAUUUGGAGGAACACCAGUGGCGAAGGCGACUAUCUGGUCUGUAACUGACACUGAGGCACGAAAGCGUGGGGAGCAAACAGGG
rnacentral:rRNA from 1 species